UUGGUAGUAGAAGGAGAAGGGUCGGGCAAGGGAAAGAGGGGUUGUGCGUGAGCUGGUAAAUAAAUGACCAGCUAACGCAGGAGCACUCUUCAGUCCGCGGUAAUAAUUAGAUCGGUCCUGUCGACAGCCGCUUAGCUACGUCGAUUUUCAGUUUGUCGAUGAUUAACUCCCGUCAGUAUAUCGAUCGGGCAUUAAAUCACGACUCGAGGCAGAAUAUCGUUGCGUCAGACUCCAAAAUUAAUCCCAAUCGCGUCGGUUUGUAUUUUUCAAUCGGAACGGCUGGCCAUUGUUGCAAUCAUAAUGUGAGAACCUAAAAAGGUGACCUGGUCUACAACACGUACGUGAAAUAUUUACCUUUGGUCACAAAUCGAAGCCCUAGUUCCGGAGCUGAGGAACCAUCCAAUCUCUUCAAAAUGUGGAUCACCACAGGGAUCCUAGGGUUAAUUGCUGGCAUUAGCGGUGUGUUGAGCACCUGCAUUCACGUAAAAAACCAAGAUAUGUUGGAGUACUCAUGCGUUGGAGGACAUCCUUCGGAUUUAAGUGUUCUUCCUGCGGAGACAGAAAAAAUUAGGAUCAGCAAGAUGUCGAUCCCAAGGAUCACGCCAGAAAUUUUUAAUCGUUUCGGGGCAAACCUAUGGGUGUUGUCAUGUUCCGAAUGUGGCAUUUACGAGAUCGACCCGUACGCCUUCGGAAAUUUGUUAAACCUUCAGCAAUUGAGUCUAGACAGUAAUCAUAUAUCCGACGUGAAAGGAAGUUGGUUCGAAGGCCUGAAGUACCUAACGUAUCUCGAUUUAAAUUACAACGAGAUCGCUAACAUCGAGGACACGGUGUUUACGAAUCUGCCAGCCCUGGUGGAUUUGAGAAUUUCCGGAAAUCGGCUUCAGUGCCUGAACGUUGGAGCCAUGUCGCAGUUAACCGACCUUAAGAGAAUGUUUCUGAGCGAAAAUCCUGACUUUAAGUGUCCGAACGCGGUUUCCGAAUUUUUGGAAGAACAAGGAGUAACCUUCGAAAGGGAUCCUGCUUGGAUAUCCGUCGUGGACGAGGUGGUUCCCAAAGGAUAUUCGGCAGCACCCCCGACGACUUCGACCCCAAGUCCUACGCAGCCAGAAAGGCCUCACACGGUAGAGACAACGGAACGUCUGUCGACGCAGAUGCCGAUUCAAUUGGUACCCGAAGAAAAUCGACCGGAAGAUCCAAAGGAACAUUUAUCGGUUUGGGCACCGAGUACGGUAGAACCCGAAAAGAGUUCCCCGUCAAAAUCCACCGAACGCUCCUUUAUUUGGGAACCGAGCUCAACGAGAUCGGAAGAAGCAUCUCCAGUGGUUCCAGAGCACAUCCCGGAAGUCCGUUCCCCGGUCGCCACGGAAUCAACCACCCAGGUGUACACGGAGAGACCUCCCUUUUACUGGACCCCGUUGUUAUCCACCGAAAAACUGUCAUCCACGACGCAUACUUCCAUACAUUCUCUUGCGCCGCUAAUAGAAUUCGUUGACAUUCCUAUUCUGGAAACCGUGACGUUCGAGCCAGCGACGACUUCACCUUCACCCCCUUCGACGACACCGUGGCCGUUCCGACAUUGGUCAACGACAACGCGGGGACCGGACGUCGCUCGGUUGAGCCCAUUUCCACCAUCUGGCUCGAACGAUUUCCACGAAGAGACGACUCAUUCCCAGGAGGUAACCGGGUCGCCGACUUUGGCCACCGGCCCGAAGGAUGAUCGGACGUCGUCCGUUUUCAAAGAGAGCUUCGCAACGCCAUCGGUCCCGGUCGAGCCUCCGUGGUCCGACCUAGAAGACUCUUACGAGGAGUACGACGACGAGAAAAGCGAUGACGGCAACGGCGCAGACUUUUUGAUAGCUUCCACGGAGCGGAGCGAUUACGACACCUUGCCCGAAAUAUUGCUGCCGCCUUUACCCUCGGAGAUGGUACAUCCAGCCUCCUCGGAUGACUUCUACCAGGGGCCGUAUUAUGCCCCCAAAGUGCCGCAUCCAUCGGUUCCGAGGAACGACGACGGCUUCCAGGCUCCGUCCACGACGGCCGUCGAGACGAUAACGACGAGCAUGCCAAUGGACGAGCCGCUUCCGAACUGCCACGGUGGAUCCGAAAACACCAGUGGACCCUUCGGGGUGGUUCUUUCCCUCGCCUUUCUCAUGAUAUUGAGAAGCAUCGCCUCGGAGCACUUGUAACCAUUCGUCAAGAUUCGCGUCCCCGUCGUCGCCCUUUGCAGCCAUGCUUCUCGGCGAGAUCGAUGGAACGACGAGUGGGAGUACGGACUCGAUCAUCGGCCGUCAUUGACGAUAGGACUCUAGAAAAUGGUGAACGGUGCGCGGCAUCGACGAUUAGCGGCGAUCGUCGCUAUCGGCGCAGAGGCGACGCCGUAGACGCAGAAAAGAGACUUAUUUUCGCCUCGCAUCGCGGACAACGUUGACGAUAUUUUUUGAUCGACGCCAAUCGAACGACGAACGAACUCGAGUGCUCGAUUCCGUCCUCUGCUAGGCGCGCCUUAGGCCCGUGAACUCGACGAUGGGCCAAAGAGGAAGCCGAGGCCGAAAAUCUGAACAAGAUGGCGAAGAUCGAAAACGAAGAGAACGCAGCCGAGAACGAUCUUGCCCUGGCGAUCCAAAAUCGCAACAAAGCCCGGGAGGAGCAGGCGAACAGCU